GAUGAACGCUGGCGGCGUGCCUAAUACAUGCAAGUCGAGCGAACGGACGAGAAGCUUGCUUCUCUGAUGUUAGCGGCGGACGGGUGAGUAACACGUGGAUAACCUACCUAUAAGACUGGGAUAACUUCGGGAAACCGGAGCUAAUACCGGAUAAUAUUUUGAACCGCAUGGUUCAAAAGUGAAAGACGGUCUUGCUGUCACUUAUAGAUGGAUCCGCGCUGCAUUAGCUAGUUGGUAAGGUAACGGCUUACCAAGGCAACGAUGCAUAGCCGACCUGAGAGGGUGAUCGGCCACACUGGAACUGAGACACGGUCCAGACUCCUACGGGAGGCAGCAGUAGGGAAUCUUCCGCAAUGGGCGAAAGCCCGACGGAGCAACGCCGCGUGAGUGAUGAAGGUCUUCGGAUCGUAAAACUCUGUUAUUAGGGAAGAACAUAUGUGUAAGUAACUGUGCACAUCUUGACGGUACCUAAUCAGAAAGCCACGGCUAACUACGUGCCAGCAGCCGCGGUAAUACGUAGGUGGCAAGCGUUAUCCGGAAUUAUUGGGCGUAAAGCGCGCGUAGGCGGUUUUUUAAGUCUGAUGUGAAAGCCCACGGCUCAACCGUGGAGGGUCAUUGGAAACUGGAAAACUUGAGUGCAGAAGAGGAAAGUGGAAUUCCAUGUGUAGCGGUGAAAUGCGCAGAGAUAUGGAGGAACACCAGUGGCGAAGGCGACUUUCUGGUCUGUAACUGACGCUGAUGUGCGAAAGCGUGGGGAUCAAACAGGAUUAGAUACCCUGGUAGUCCACGCCGUAAACGAUGAGUGCUAAGUGUUAGGGGGUUUCCGCCCCUUAGUGCUGCAGCUAACGCAUUAAGCACUCCGCCUGGGGAGUACGACCGCAAGGUUGAAACUCAAAGGAAUUGACGGGGACCCGCACAAGCGGUGGAGCAUGUGGUUUAAUUCGAAGCAACGCGAAGAACCUUACCAAAUCUUGACAUCCUUUGACAACUCUAGAGAUAGAGCCUUCCCCUUCGGGGGACAAAGUGACAGGUGGUGCAUGGUUGUCGUCAGCUCGUGUCGUGAGAUGUUGGGUUAAGUCCCGCAACGAGCGCAACCCUUAAGCUUAGUUGCCAUCAUUAAGUUGGGCACUCUAAGUUGACUGCCGGUGACAAACCGGAGGAAGGUGGGGAUGACGUCAAAUCAUCAUGCCCCUUAUGAUUUGGGCUACACACGUGCUCCAAUGGACAAUACAAAGGGCAGCGAAACCGCGAGGUCAAGCAAAUCCCAUAAAGUUGUUCUCAGUUCGGAUUGUAGUCUGCAACUCGACUACAUGAAGCUGGAAUCGCUAGUAAUCGUAGAUCAGCAUGCUACGGUGAAUACGUUCCCGGGUCU
rnacentral:rRNA from 1 species